AACAGAUAAGCACAAACUAAACUGGCAAUUUGGUUAAUUUGAUUUAAAGAAUCACUACAUUUUAAUAUCGAAACAUCAAUCGUAUAACUUUGACAUGUCUGAAUCAGAAUAUAUGGUAUAUAUUUGAAUGAUAGGUCACGUGAUAUGCAAACUUGUGAAAAAUGGACGACAAUGGUAUGUGUAUGAAACGGAUAGUACAAAACAGAACUUUGAAAUUUUGCUCAUUAUUACUAGAGGUGAUAUAUAUAUAUAAAUAUAUAUUUGUUUAUACAACUCAUUGAAACACUUUUUUUAUUUGAUUAAUAAUGCAAAAUGUUUAGUUUUAAAAAGGAUACGUCAUUUUUAAAUGGACAGUUUUGUUGUAACGAUGGUUGCAUUUUCAUUUGUAAUGCUCAUCUUCGGUUUUUUUUUUAAAUUAAACAUCUAGGUUGAAUACCUUUCAAGUGUUCAAAUAAUAAAACGAAAAUGUCAAUCAGUUGCUUUUUCAUUAGGAUUAAUACAGUGACAAUAAAAAAAAAUGAUUUGUUUGGUAUUAUUAUCAUUUAAAACAGGGAUCUGACUCUAUUAUUUUAUAGCUGACAUGUUCAUGCAUGUUUAUUCAUGUAUAUCUUCGUAUAGAUAAAGCUGUGGUUCAGUAUAAUUUGAGCAAUAUGGAGAUCUGGUACAGUAAAAUUGGUACUGUCAAUGGCAUUGCAAACAAAGCAAAAUUUAAAGUAAUUGCAGCCCCAUUGUAACAAAAAGGAUAAAAUGAAAUCGAUAUUUAGGCAGAAUUAUUGAACUUUGUUGUUUUCAUUGUCCGUCUUAUUCUAAAUAGUGCAAUGUACUAUGUUCCUCGUUCAUCUUUAUAUUUUUUUGUGUGAGAAAUUAAAGAUCAUAAGUUGUUUCUGUUUAUACGGAUGAUGUCUAUGUUUUAAUUAUUUUUAUAUGAACUUAUAUGCCAUUAAUUAGCGACUCCAUAGCAUAAAGAUGACAAUUCGACGAGUAUAUUCAAAUGAAAUUAAAAAAAUUAUUAUCAAAUGAAAAGAAAAAAAAAUUAAAAGUGGGAAUGGGUUAUGUGUCAAUGAGACAUCAUAUCAAACAAAAAGCAGAAAAAAGCUGUUAGUUUUUAACUUGAAAUUAAUCUAUGAUUUUCUGUUCUAUCUUUUUAACAAUUUUGAUGAUGUUUUAUGCAAGAAAAAAAAAUUAAUUUGCAGGGUGUUAGGGGAAACAAACCGAAUAGUAUCUUCUGUUUGCAAACACUGUUUAAUCGGUCAAUUUGAAAAAUAGGCUUUAAAUUUGCAAAACAACAUGUCCUGUUAUAUAGAACUACUAUAAAAUAUUUUAUAAAAAAGUUUGUAAGAAAAAGAUUUCUUAGAAUUCAUAUCACCUCCAAUGAUAUGGGUUUUAUUCUCUCUAACAUUUGUUUCCUUUUAAAAAUCUAACUGCCAUGAAAAAAGACACACUGUUUAAUAAAGUAUUUUCUCGGUAUUGAAACAACCAAUAGCAAUUUAAAGCUCAUAAUUUCCCAUUUUAGAGUCUAAAAUAUGAAACACAUAUAUUUUUUUUUCGUUCCGGUAAACCGUAUAUACUUCUUCAAAUGUAUCCCUACCUUGGCAUGGUUGAGUGAUGUUUUAAUUUUUCUUUGCCUGAAUACAAUUUUCUCUGCUGUUUUGAUUAGGUAAAAUUUUGCGAAAGAAACAUUCGUUGUGUUUUAGAAUUAAUAAUUCUAAGGACGAUAAACUGUAUUAUCUUAUGAGCAUGUUAAAAAAAAAUACGACCUUUACCAAACUAUAAAGCUAUCUGUUCUGGAAUGCAUAUACUGAUUCUAUUCUAUUCAAAAUUGCUGUAAUAAAGUUUCAAGUCCAUUUUAAAUUGAGAGACGUAUCGCACCCAUGCACAGCUCAGAUUUCCUGUUCGGGUUAGCCUUUUUGUGGUCCUUUAAGGUUAAUGAUUCUUCAACGUUGGUAUUAAUGUUUCGACUUUGGCAGGUCUUUGCCACAAUCAACACCAAAGAGUCAUGCAUUGUCGAAUUCACUACUGGUUCAAUAUAUAAUGGUAUCAAUAAUGUUAUUAUGGUGGUAUGGAAGUCUAAAUUAAAAUGAUUUUUUUUCAUAUUUUUUAUGUUCAUACUUUUCCAAAUUAAAACGUAGCUUUUUUGUUAAUUAUGUUAAAAAAUAUAAUAAAAUAGAUAAGUCACCGCCGUUUCUCAAGCCUCAUGGAUUAUACAGGAAAAACUAUCAUUAUGUGAUCAGAAGCUAAACUAAAUGAUAGAAUUGUAAAAUAAAUAAGAGAAGAUAGUUUUUAUAAAAUGUUUUGAUAAUAUCAAAAGAAAAGAUAGGGUCACCGUUUUUCUGGCUAAAAUACAAAUGCAAAAUUUCAUAUACACUCCUUCAAAAAUGCACUACUCCAGAGAUACCUCCACUUAAAAGGCCAUUUUUAAAAAAAACAUUGAAAAUCAAUAUAUAAUCUACACUUGUAUAAAUAUUAUUAUUUAUAAGUGAUCAUUUUCUAAAUUUGUUCUUUUAAAUGCAAAUUCAUAUUAGUUAUCUGCCUUCCUGUAUCUAAUUUUGCUAACUUAAUUGAAAAUCUGGACCUUAGAUUCUCUGUUUUUUUACAAUCCAAGAUGGUGAAAGACACCCAUACCAUCUUAAUGUUAUAACUUUUGUAACAUUUUUUUUUUUAUUAAAUGUACUAAAUAAUGUAUCAGGUCAGGUUUACGUAUGUAGUUGGCGUUUGUGUUUUGUUUCACUUCAGUGAUUCUGUGUUUUCUUUGUUUCCCUCGGUUGUAUUCUGUUAUCCGUUUUAUUAUAUUUUUUUUUUAUCUCAAUCGAUGUAUGAAUUUUAAACACCGGUAUACUACUGUUGCCUUUAUUUAUGAUUUUUUUUUUGUCAUAUGUCCGGACUUCUAGGAUUUUUCCCUUUGGUAUAGGGUAAAAUAUUUCAUUCCAUAUCACUCCUUUUUCUUUUUAUGGAAGACUUUAAUAGCUAAUAAAUAUGUCAUUUUAAAAAACUUUUAAAGUAGAUUCUAGAUUUUUUUUAACGAAGUGAGACUCAAACAAUGCCUUUGUUGAAUAUAAGGUAAAAUUAGGAGUCAGUCUUUUCACGUCAUUUAAAGAUAUUAAAUAUCGUACAAAGAAUCAAUAUCAAUAUUUUUAGCCUAUUUUGUUCCUUUAAUUUUCUAUAAUUUCACCCACAUGUAAUUUCAUCCUUAAACGAUUAAAAUGUUCCUUUGUGUCUAUAAUGUGAUCAGUUGUGAAUCAAAUUUAGUCCAGUAACAAAUAUCUAAAGGUUGUCGUUAGUGUCUUUCAUAAAAAUUACCAGUAUUUCUCCUACCAUACACAUUUAUAAAUAGUAAUAUAUAUGUUUCAGAGGUUCACUUUGACUGGCUAAAGAAUGACUUGAAUUUAAAGCGAUGUAGAAUAUCGUCCUAUGCAGAAUGGUAUGUUAUUAAAGCCAUGCACCGUACACAUAUAUAUAUAUAUAUAACGAACAACGGAAAACGAAAUAACACGUGUGUUUAAUCAUGGAAUGCAAAUAGCCAAUUUUAUAAUAAUUUUUGUCUGACAGCUAGAUAUUUGGUGAUUUUAAAACUGAAUUUAAAAUAUGUUUUCAUUCAAACGUUUUCAAUAUCAUCAAAAUCGAAUUAAUACACUAUAAAAAGAAAAAUGAUAUGUUUCUUUGCUUUUCAUGCAUAGAUAUAAUAUAAAAUUUACGGUUUUGAUUUAUCUUUCUUUCCAAAACACAAUAAAGCAAAAUGCAAAGACGUGAGUUUUAAAGUGAUAAAAAAAAAUUCAAAAGGAGGCUGCACAAAGGGUUGCAUUUACAUUAGUAAUAACUAUAUAUUACUAUAUUAAAAUAACAUUCUUAAAUUGCAUCCCAUAGGAUAACAAUAACGAAAAUGAAUUGUUGGUUGAAUAUUAGAAAUAAGAAGAAUCUUCCUAUUAUCAAGUCCUUGAAUUGUUCGAUAUUGUUACUUUUAAACAAAAGAAAAUUGGUAUCCUAUUGUUAAUUAAUAUACUACAUAAAUUGAAAUUGAAACAAUUAUCCACAAUUUACAUCUAUGUAAAAAUAUACAUAUAAUAAAUAGAAAACACCUACCCGGGUCAUAUAACCUCAUGAUUAUUCCAGCAAAAACAUAGAUUCGUUUGUUAUAAAAAAAAAGAAGAAACUUUUUUUCUUAAUUCAUCAAAAUGCAUCCUGCAUAUGACUAAAAUAAAAGAUUACAAUUGUAUUUUUAACCUUAUUCGCGGAAAGUCCGGUAUUGUUUACGCAGAAUUGUUUUCUUAAGGAUCGACACGCUUUUCUGAAAAUUCUAACGGUUUGUCACGUGGUGCAAUAUUCAAAGAUAGCACUAAUUCACAAUAACCAGGAUGUAAAAUAAUCUCACAGAAUGAAACAUGUGAAAGCGGAUAUCUAUUUUUUGGAAAUCAUGUUAAACGCUCAGUAUAAUAAUGGAAGUAAUACACGCAUAGAGACGUUUUCCUUUUAUGAAAUCAAUAACAUGCAGGUUCAAAUUACAUUUCCGAUAAAUAUCAUUAAUCUACGUAUAUAUAAUUACCUUAGAACAGAAAACUUAGUAGUCGGAUAGAAAGGAUACAAAAAGUACAUUUUAUACAAGGAAAAUGUAGAGCAAUAAAAAAAACAGCGUUAAUAUUGUUGUUCUAUAUUUUAAGAAUAGUCAUAUACAAUAGAUAAAUGUUAAAAUUAAUUCCUUGGUACACUUGAGUUUUUUUUUAAAUCAUGCAUAAUCAAACGGACACUUUGAUCAUAAAAUGUACGUCGUCAAUUAAAUAAACCAAAACAUAAAACCUUCUUACAAUUAAAAAUCUCAAAGAAAGUUAUAUAAUACAAAUUAGAAUUUGCAGUUGUAAGUAAUAUUUUACUCACACAAAGAUAAUCACAGCUUCGUUUUGCGAGUUGCGUCAAAACAGUAGAACUUUGCGAUCUCGGCUGUAAAACAAUUUUGACCAUUAGUUUGAUGUAGUGGAAAGAUCUCUCGAAGGAAAUCAGCUAUGGUACAUAUUAUGAAGGCUGGAUACAUAAAAAAUGAAUAAUUUUCUACAUUAUAUACAAUUGUUAUUAAUUAUUACAGAAAAUUGCGCCUGCAGUACAAAAUCGAUUAUGCCUAAAUUAGUUCACAUAAUAAUAAUGAUGAGCUUAUUGGUUUUUAAAAUAUUUACAAUUGUUAUAUAAUUUUGUUUAUAAAAUAACAUUUACUAUCUAUUAGUAGGUUUGUGUCUAGGAAUGAAGCAGGUGAUUUUAUUUCAGUAGUGUCCUUAUGCCCGACCUUAUUAAAAUAUAUGAUGUAUAGAUAAUGGGUAAAGCAAUUUUUAUUUUAUUAUGAAUAUAAGGGAAGACUAACAAAUAUCUAAAUAUAACAAACGACGAACAACAAUCUUAAAUAUACUACAUAAAAAGCUUACAAUAGGCGGCACGAAC
rnacentral:lncRNA from 1 species